UUGCCGACCCCUGGACUAGUGCUGCUAGGCGAGUCCGCUGCGCUGUGGGCCGCUGGGUCUUGCCUCCGUAGCACUCCGAGGUCACGUAAACACUCCAAAGUAUUUAUGAGUCCAAAAUCACUUGAUGAUCGUAAUUCCAGCAGACGCUGGCGAUCAUAUGCUAACUUACUGAGUGGAUGCAAAGUUUGUAGCGUUAUAGGCGGCGUAUUUUGCUCAAAUACUCGCAAGUUGUUGAGGGGGGCCGCAGCCAUACAGGGCGCCGCCAUACUCAAAAAAAAUAAUGAAAACAUGUAUCCUUUUUUCUUUGUUUCCCUUAUUUGGAAGGUUUGCUUUACAAUUUGAGAUUUGGAUGUUCAUUUCACAUGAUUGUUAUGAUUUUUCUUUAGAAAAUAAUGACCAUGUUCGGGUGGUUCACAAACUUUCAAGCAGCACUGUAUGUUCUCAUUAGCCAAUUAUAUUGCAGUACUUUGAGGCGUGUAUUGGUAGUUUGUGUUUGUGCUUCAGCACACGCCUUCUCCCAGGCCUCUGAAGGCAAGUUCUCCUCUGGGCAUUGAGCCUGGAGGGCAUUGAGCCUGGAGGGCUCAAUGCCCUCCAGGCAUUGAGCUUCCAUAAAGGAGACUCAGAGGAUCCCUCCACUAACAUGCUAUAUAGUUUGGAGAUAAUUCCUUUUCUAAAGCAAUCCUUCUUUAUUUCGAUUUCCAAGGUGGACAUCUGAAGGAUGGACUCACAUUGAUUUUGAGAUGCUCUAAUAAAAUUUCUCACUUGUAGAUAUUUAAAAUAAUGUUUACUUGGGAUAUCAUACCUGGCCUUCAACUCUUCAAAUGACAUCAAAACCCCAUCCUCUGAUUCCACAAGAUCUCCUAUUGUCUUUAAAUCUUUUCCAGCCCAUUUCCUAAAACCAGGAUCCAGCCCCAUAUUGGACUGAAGCGUGAUAGGGAGGAGGAAUCACCUAAAUACUUCUUAACCUGAUACCAAACCAAGAUCAUAUUUCUGACUAUAGGGUUUUUUGUCUUUUUUUUUUCAGCAUUCUGAUGUUUGCUUAGUAAAUGUACUGGGGUAGAGGGAGAGGUACAGAACAAUUUUCAAUAUUCACCCCUGGCAAGAGACAUUUAUCUGUAAAAUAAUACAUCAUAGUCCUCAAUUGAGCUGCCCAAUAAUACCAAAGUGGAUUGGGGCACCUGAGGCCUCCUCUAUCAUACGGUAGAUACAGAAGUGUUAAACGAAGCCUUGGUCGUCUAUUAUUCCACAGAAAACAUAUGAAAAUGUUUUUUAGGGCCGAAAAUAAAUUGGCAGGAGGUGGCAAUGGGAUGUUCUGAAACAAAUACAGAAGUUUGGGCAUUAUAUUGGAUUUAAGGACAUUGAUUCGUGCUAUAAGUGACAAGGGCAAGUGAUUCCAUCUAUCCAUAGAGGCAGCAAUUGAGUCUAUCAUUGGGUUAUAGUUAGGCCUGUCACGAUAACAAAUUUUGCUGAACGAUUAAUUGUCUCUAAGAAAACAUUUUGCUCUUGGUCCUUAUGCGUCAUGUCUGAGCUGUAUAAUUUUUCAAAAAAGACCUUAAAAAUUUCAUUGAUUUCUAAUGGAUCGGUAAUAAUCUGUCCCUGAUUAUUUUCGACUGAGGUAAUAUUUUUCUCAUUUUGUAAUUGUCGGAGUCGUCAGGCUAAUAAUUUCCCAGGCUUUUCCCCUUGAUCAUAGAACGACUGCUUAAGAUGCAAAAGUUGUGAGGCGGCUUUUGAGGCAGAAAGUUCAUUAUACUGUGUUCUUAGUAUCAGAAGUUUUUUAUGGGUGUUUGAUAGUAAUCCCUCUCAAGCAGCUCAAUCUCUGCUGCCAACUCUUUUGUUUUUUGAUAAGUUUGUUUUGCCUUAUAACUCAUAAAGCUAAUUAUUUGAACCCUUACAUAGGCCUUAAAGGCUUCCCACCUUGAAGAGGGUGAUGUUUCAUCUGUAUUGAUUUCAAAAUAGAUGUUAAUUUGAUUAUCUACAAAAAAUAUAAAUUCUGGGUCUAUGAGCCAAUUUUGUUUAAAUCUCCACCUAGGAGGGUCUCUCCUUAGUCUUAAAUCCUCAUAGAUAAGUGAAUUUGGUGCAUGGUCAGAAAUUAAGAUGCUAUCGUAUUGACAGUCUCUUAUUUUAUUUCUCAAAAUGGCAGAAAUUAAAAAGUAAUCGAUACGCGAAUAUGAUUUAUGUGUAUUUGAAUAACACGAGUAUUUUAAACUUUUGGGAUUCAUAUCUCUCCAAAUAUCCAUCAAAUUAAGUUCCUUCAUAAAGUGUUGAAUUGUUUGUCUACUUUUAGAAUGAGAGUUGUCAGUACCUGAACUUAUGUCCAGUUCUGGGUUCAUUGUGCAGUUAAAAUCUCCUGUUAUAAUAUAGCUGCCAGACAAAGAUGAAAUUGUAAGAAAGAGAUUUUGAAAAAACUUUGGGUCAUCAACAUUUGGGGCAUAAAUAUUUAUCAGGUUUAUUUUUUCUGAGAUAAGUGUGCCCUGUAGAAUAAUAUACCUCCCAGCCCUGUCUUUAAUAACCCUUGUCACAUGGAAUGGUAUGGAUUUAUGAAUCAAAAUCAUAACCCCUCUUGCUUGUGAAGUAAAGGGUGCUGAAUAUAUACCGCCCUGCCACCUCCUGCCAAUCUUUGCCUCCUCACCAGACAACAGGUGAGUUUCCUGAAAUAACACAAUAUCAGAGUGCAUAGAUUUCACCCUAGUCAUUAUCUGUUUAACUUUUUUUAGUUUCUGUAAUCCCCCGCAGUUCCAAGAAGACACUUUAAUUCUUAACCCACCAGACAUACUGUGUGACACUUAAUGGGCUUCCUAGUAUUUUCAAACUGUUUAAAGACAAAGAAACCAAGAACAUCUGGAUGUUUAAAGCUACAUCCAUAAUAAUAAUGAACACUGAACAGUAUACCCCUUUGGAACUCUGUUGCCCUCCCUCCUCCCCCCCCUUUAAUACUCUGGUACCCAUCUAACAGCUGAAGGCCGUUCCACAUGAAAGUGAGGAUCAGCCGACUGUGCUUGACUAUUUUUCCCUCUUACCCUACCCCACUACAUAAGAAACUCGUUACUGAUUGUGUCCAAAAAAAUAAGAAAAAGGUAAAUAAAAGUAGGCUAUUGACUAUGAGCCUCUGGGAUAGCAAACAAGAAAUAUGAUAAACUAAUUUUAAUUCUUACUUAUUUUACUUAACUUUAGGUACCGUAAUUGUCCAUCCCUGUUAAUAUGUUGCAAUGUAAUGAUGUCGUCAUUGUCUCACCCAGGUCUGCUUUCUGCUUUCAGAGUCCUUACAAAGUUCUCUGCUUCAGCUGGUUGGUUAAAGAUGGGAGACUGACCGUUGUGUGUCACCAGCAGUCGAGCGGGAGGAAUCAUGCCGUAUGUAGCAGUGUGAUGUUAUUACACUAGAUUGUAAAGUGGGAAGCUAAUCCUGUAGGAAAUUAUAUAAGCACCGACAGCUUUUAUUUUGAAAAGUCGACAGAUCCAUUUCAAAACAGCGGAUAACUUCCUGUUUCAAAAUUAUUAUUUUUAUUAAAAUUUUAUGUGUUACGAAGGAAAAUGCAAAUUAUCAUCUUUACUGUUGAAUAUAUUGAGUUCCUGGAUUGUUGUUUCGAGCGUCAGUUCAGCAUUUUAAAAGACAAGUUAACGGAUCAUACCAUUAUAGUUUGAUAAGGGUUUUCCCGCGCUCUCCGUUGCGCUCUUUCUGUCCAGAUUCUGUGGGAGAAGGUAUGAAGUUUUGCUUUCUGUGUUCAAUAAGUGUUUUUGAGCAUAAUAAGUGACAAAUUGAUUACUGUUCUUGUAAGAUAAUGUGCUUUGGAGCACUUAAACUGUUAAACAGUGAUAGAAUUGUGUUAACAGCUAGUUAUGCUACAUGAAACAUUGCUAAUGGAAAUGCUACAUUCAUGUGCUAAAAAUAGUGAUGUUCAUGGUUAAACAGGUGUGGAGCACUGUGACAAGAAAAGCCUGUUUUCAGUCACUAUUUUCUGCUGUUUGAAUGCAGAUUCUGUGGGAGAAGGCGCUGUGGAGCACUGUGACAAGAAAAGCCUGUUUUCAAUCACUAUUUUCUGCUGUUUGAAUGCAGGAGCAUUAAAAGUGCCUUCAGAGCAGCGGUUGUCUGGCUAUUAUUUCACACAAGAUACAACGCAGAAUCAACUACACUAUCGUAUCCCCAUGGUACGGAGUUGUUGUCUCACGCCAUCAAACUCUUUCUGUUUUUUGUGCACACCGGCUGCGAGGUUCUCAUAAAAUCUCACCGGAUGGUUCUUGAAUAGAAUCUGUCCCUUCAUCCUGGCGGCUCUUAUCACAGUUGCUUUAUCCCUGUAGUUUAAGAACUUCAUAAUAAGAGUCCUUGGUGUAGCGGUGUUAGAUGUGCUUUUCUGGCUAAGCCGGUGUGCUCUCUCCAGUGUCAGAGUGGUGUGUAGCGGUGCCAGGUUCAGAGCCUCCGGUAGCCACUUUUCCAGAAAGGCGUAGGCGUCCUCUCCCUCCGCACCCUCGGGAAGGUUAACCAGUCUCAGGUUAGAUCGUCGCGAUCUGGUCUCCAAGUCCAACACUUUUCCUUCGAGCUCUUUAUUUUUAUUUUUGAGGACCUGGACCCUAGCUUGUAGACUGGUGAUGUUAUCUUCUGCUGCAGAUAUUCUCACUUCCGCCUCACCAACCCGCUCGGCGAACUCCUUAACAUCCUUUUUUACAUUCUCUAUUGCUGAUAGAAUACCGUCCAGUCUGGAGGAGAAAUCUGAUUUCAAAUUUGCAAUUGCAGCCAGUAUCGCCUCUGAACCAGCUUCAACCGUCUUAUUCUUCUCAUUCAACUUGCAGUUUUCCUCCUCCAUUGACUUGCACGUGGUGGCGUUAGCCUCGCUAUUUUCACAGCUAGCUUCAGAGCUCACCUUAGAAGUGAAGUUAGAUAACUUCGAUUGAGUCGAUUUGCUGGAGUUUUUACUGGGCUUCCUUUGUGAGAAAGGCAUUACAGCUGUUUUAAACGUAGUUCAGUGUCACUUGUAACGAGUACUUUCCAGGAUUUUACAGAACGGUAGCGGAGCCAAAGCGAGCGCGUCCUCUCAGCAAGCCGCCAUUACCGGAACCCUUGUUCAGCGCUCUUAUCUAGAGAA